UGCAGAAACUGAAUUUUCUUUUCUUCUUUUUCUUAUAUAUUUUAAUUAUCCUUCUUACAGAAUAAAAAUAUUCUAUAGAUUGUUAGAAACAAACUGCUUCAUUUACUUCAAAAAAAGUAUAUCCAGAUGGGAAUGUUUCUAUUUUCUUCCCUAUAAUUGACACUUUUGAUUACAUAUAGAUCAUUAUUCAAACUCUUCUGUCUGGGACCAUGCAGUGAAUUAGACACACACACACACACACUCUCUCUCCCCUCUCUCUCUCUCUCUCUCUCUCUCUCUCUGUCUUACUCACACACACACAGUUUUAAAUGUUGUAAUUGGUGAUUCAUUAAAUAUGCAGUUCCUCAUCAGAAAGUUACAAUAAUCAAUCUCUUAAUCUGCAAAGAUUUCUUUAUUUUUGAUUGAAUGUUUUUUUGUUUAAUUCUUAUCUCAUUUAUUGAAUAUAAAGUUCAAAACAACAGUUAGUAAGUUUCCUUAUUCUGCAAUUCCUAUUAACUUAUAUUUUAGUUUAUCUGUCCAUGUUACAAUUUUUUAUAUAUCUGGUUCCUUACAUUUAGUUUCUGAAUAUUAGGGAAAGGACUCUCAUGAUUUAGAUCUUAAUUGUUGUUUUUCAAAACUUCCAAGUUAUUUAGAAUCCGGAAUCAUUAUUUUUGCUGCUUUUCAUGAAAAGUCCUUAGGUACAAUAUAAAAUAAAGUUUUUCUUCAAAUUUUUCUCUUGAAAAAAAAAAAAACUUCUUUCAGAAACAAUCUCUCUCAAGCAAUUAUUUUUUUUUUAUGAUACUGGUAUUCAAAAACUAUAGAAUACUUUAAAUUACUGCUGUUAUAAGAAAAAAAUUACUGUUAUAUCAGUGGAAGAUGUAGCAAUUCUGCUCAUCUUUUGGCUGAUUUUAUUCUGAUUUGCAAGUGAGUUGCUUUUGGCUAUUACACAGGCUGUGUAUUUCUCUUCCUCUCUAAAGUACUUUACUUCUAUAGGAAAAUCGAAUCAACUGUUUCUAUUUGAAAAAGUAAAGUAAAGAAAAGAAAAAGAAACAAAUGGAUUCAGAUGUCCUAUUAGCUGUUCUCUUUCUCUCUCUCUUUCAAAGAUGUAUGCACCACUUCACAUACAUCUACAUACACACAUACACAUCAUAGUUAGAAAACAUCUAACAAGCCCUGCCAUAUGAAAUAACUGUGUGAACUGCCAAUUCCCUGCUGUUAAUAAUAUUAAUAUAACUGAUCGCAAAUGUCAUCAUUUAACAUUAUAUAAGAAAAGAUGAUUUUUUUUUUUCCCCUCCCCUUUUUAUUUUUCUUCUUUUUAAUCUAAAUUGAAUUGGGUACUGCUCUUGAAAGCAAGACAUCCCAGAAUCGUACAUGAGUAAGUACUCUUGAAUAUGACUUUUUGGUCAUGCUUUUAACACUAAUAAAACUAUUCCACUGAAACACUUUUUAUUCUUUCAUUUUUUUUCCUUUUCUUUAAUAGAUAUUUGUGUGGCAGCGUAGGCACCAGCAUGGCUGUGUGGUGAGAAGUUUGCUUCCCAACCACAUAGUUCCAGGUUCAGUCCCACUAUGUGACACCUUGAGCGGAUGACUUGUGAGUGAAUUUGGUCGAUGAAAACUGAAAGAAGCCCAUCAUGUGUGUCUGUGCUUCUUUGACAACCAAUGUUGGUGUGCUUACAUCCUUGUAAUAUAGAAGUUCAGCAUAAAAAGACUACUAGAAUAAGUACUAGGUUUAAGAAUAAGUGUCCUGGGUCAGUUUGGUUAAAACCCUUCAAGCAUGGUCAUGAAAAGCAAAACAGCAUACCUGAAGUAAGGAAACAGGACACAUUUUUGAUACUAUAUAUAUAUAUAUAUAUAUAUAAUUUUGCUUAUGCGUUGCAGAACUAAUAAUCUGGUGUAGAAUGACACAUUAGUUGAGUACACAGCAGUAAUAAGAAAAUGAGAUGACAAAGGAAUAAACAAUCAUCUUAUGAACUUCAUUAGCUUACAGCUGCUAUUCAAGGCUCUGAUGAAACUGUGAGGUGUUACUCAGGCACUCAACUAUGAGUCCACUACAUCUUAUAGCAGAAACAGCUGUAAGAUAAUCAUUCAUAUCAUUUAUUUCUUUGUCAUUCAUAUUUUUUAUAAAUAUAUAUAUAUAUAUAUAUAUAUAUAUAUAAUGUGUGUGUGUGUGUAGAUUUGCUGUUAAUGGUAAUUAUUUAACCUGAUUUAGUACAAGGUUAAUUUUCAUAUGAGUCUGGUACACAUAAUUGAAUUUCCCUGAGCUAUUACUGUAACUUAUAGAUGCAUAUUUCUCUUUCAAAUAGUGAAAGAAAAAUCAAACUCUGACAGGAUUCAAACUUGAGGCUUAAUUAAAUGUUCUGAGGCAUACAUUCACUAUGGCAACUAAGGAUUUUUUCUGGUCAAAAGUUAUGUAACUUAUUGAAUAUUUAUUCUUAACUUCAAAAAAAAGAAAUGACAUUUCUUUUAUCUUUUACUUGUUUCAGUCAUUGGACUGUGACCAUGCUGGGGUACCUUAUGAAAGGAUUUAGUCAAACAAAUCUACACCAGUACAUAUUUUUAAGUUUGGUACUUAUUCUGUCAAUCUCUUUAGCCAAGUUAUGGGGAUGCAAACAAACCAAUAUUGGUUGUCAAGUUUUGUGGGGGUCAAAUGCAGACACACAUAACAAACUUCCCUACAAUUUCCGUCUACCAGAUUCACUCACAAGGCAUUAGUUUACCUGGUGCUAUAGUGGAAGACACUUGACCAUGUGGUCACAAAGCAAGAAUCUUAACCAUGCAGCCAUGAAAAUCACAGCUUGAUUAACAUUCUAGUUUGCUUCAUUUGUUUUACAUUUGUUUUCUUUGCUAGUAUAUUUUGAACAGGUUCUUAUUUGAAGCUAUAUAUAUUUACUGCUAGGUGCUCUUCUUGUUGCCAACUUGUUCCUGAUUUACAGUUUAGGAAGCACAGAAAAAUGUUCACUGGAAAUGUAAACAUGCAACACUUUUUCUUUUACUUUGUUCUUCAUUCAGAUUACUUUAUUUAAAAAAUUACAUCUUUCACACAUAUACACACUUAUAUAGGCAUACAUAUGACAGACUUCAUAUGGUUUCCAUCCACUAGUUUCAUUCACAAGACAUUGCUUUGAGUGAGGCAAUAGUAGGAAACAUUGGUCCAAGGUGCCGUACAGUGAGACUGAACCUAAGAACACAUAGUUGCAAAGCAAACUUAACUGCCUAGUUAUACUGAGCUAUAUCCAUACAUGUUUUAUCUCUCUUUGAAGUUAGGGCCUUUUUUCAGCAACCCGAGAUUUUCUAACCACUCUUUUUACAAGAUGCCAAGCAAUAGUAGAUUAUUUAUUUAAAUAUAAACAAGAAUCUGCUUACACAUAGCUCAUAUGCCUAUGGUAUAAGAUUGAUAGUCCAUCAAUAAUACUUGAUGGAAUACUAACACAAUAUAGAUUAUGAAUAAAUAUAUGAGGCAGGGUUUGUGUUGUGAGUUACUUAGUGACCUCAGUGGUGCUGGCACCACAUAAAAAACGCUCAGUACACUCUGUUAAGUUGUUGGUGUUAGAAAUGAAAACAUUGGAGUAUGUUGUGGACCUUUGGCUCACCAGUUCCUGUCAAACCAUCCCAAGUAUGCCAGCUUGGUAAACCCAUUAAAUGGUUAUCAUUACAGGCGCGGGCAUGGUUGUAUGGUUUAGAAAUUUACCUCCCAACCAAAUGGUUUUCAGUUCAGUCUCACUUUGUGGCAUUUUGGACAAAUAACUUCUUUUAUAGCUUUGUGCCAACCAAACUUUUGUAAAUGGAUUUGGUAAACUGAAACUGAAAGUUUAUUCCAUAUUUGUUUUAACAUCAUAUGAUAGUUGGAAAUGAGUGUCACUAUCUCUCAGGUAAGAAUUGCUAACUGUUUCUAGACUUCCAUAAAAAACAUAUCCAGCCAUGGAGAAAUACUGCCUUGCUUUGAAAUAGGUGAAGGUUGGCCACAGGAAGGGCAUCCAGCCAUAGAAAAUUUACCUCAAUGAAUUUGAUCAGACCCAUACAAGCAUGGAAAGGUGAACAUUCAAACAAUGAUGGUGAUGAUUAUUUAUAUAUAUAGUGUUGCUAAAAUUAGGUUCUGUAGAUGUACCUUUUCAGCAACUUGGAAUAAGGAUUGAACUGACAGAAUUUGCUUGCUUAUCUCCCAAUUUAUUUACUUAUUGACAACCCAUAUUGUACUUGCACUCUUAAGGCCAGGCUGUCGUUCUCAUACCGUUCUGUAAAUGUGUUCUACAUUUUAAUAAGUAAUUUUCCAUUAGUUUUUCAGCAUCUUGAGGAGAAAUGAUAAUGUGAUGGAGUUUAACAACAAAACUUGUUCAAUCCUCAUUCAAAGCUACUGAAAAAAAAUCCUCAAUUAGAGCCUAAUUUUACAACUAGACUAAAAGGAAAUUCUUCUGUAUAUUCAAUUACUCAUAAACAUCUGUAUUCGUACUUCAGCAAUAUACAAUCUUUUUCAGAAAUUAGGCAAAAGAAAUUUGACAUAAACUUCAUGGACCAUCAAAUAUAGAGUUACUUUUUUAAUCUCACUAUGCAAAACAAGAACAAAACUUACCAUGGAGCACCAAAACUUUGAUGUAGCCCACCAGUCGUUCACUGGAAUCACGUUGUACUUAAAUGUUUCUGUAUAUUACUAGCAAGCUCACUUUCUGUGCUGUGUUAAGGAAAUAUGUAUGAAAUUCAUUUGCUUUUGGUUGAUCUGGAAAUGACUAAUGAAGAGAAAUCAAAAAAAAUUUGCAACACAUGGAUCUAAACAUGAGAUUCGGCAGAUGACUCUCAGAUGAUUGGCAGUGAAAAAGCAGCCUUUCACAAUAUUUUUCAGAAAAACUAAACCAUAAUACUUUGAUAACUGAAGGAAUAUGGAAAUGUCCUACUCAGAAGUAGAACUCUUGCAGCAAAUUUCAGAUGACUUGUAAGUCAAUACUUCAUAUAUCUCUGCUGGAGAGUAAGCACCACUGAAAUAACAGGAGUACCCUACUUUUAGUCGUUAACAAAGAAAUUCAUCUGCCCUAUUGAUAACCUGACUUUUGGUGGAAAACAUCAAUACCUAAUCCAUUGUUACGUUGUCCACCUUUUCCAUGGCAUUUUGCUCAUUAAAAUUUGCAGGUACUAUAACACCGAUUGGAACUCAUUACAUUUGAUCCUUCCCAAACGUAAUGAAUAUUAUAUUCUGAAAGAAUUACUCCAGAAAUUUUUCUUUUCUAACCUUUAUAACUAUCAACCAGACUGUGAUGUUAUUCACUGCCGGUUGUAAUGCACUUCGCUGCAUUGUAGCUUUCCAAUAUUGCCAACCUGCUGGCUAGAUGGGCAAGCUAACAUUAACGUUGAAUGGGAUGCCAGUUUAUCACAGGGUUAUCUGUUUGCAGCGGUGUUGACAGAAGCAACAUGAAAGGAACUGCUUUGUUCAAGAACUGCCUGUCUGGUAAUCGAAACCAUAAUCUUCUGAUCACGAGUGCAACACCCUAAUUACUAGGCUACAUGCCUUUACACCUUUUUACAAUAUUUCCAAGGCUGAAAUUAAUAUUGGUUUCAAAUUUUGGCACAAGGUCAGCAGUUUAGCGGGAGUGAGAAAGUCAAUUACCUUGACCCCUAGUACUCAACUGGUUCUUAUUUUAUUGACCCCCAAAAAAGAUGAAAGGCAAACUUGAACUCAGAAUGUAAAGAUGGACGAAAUGCCAUUUAGCAUUUCACCCUGCAUGCUAACAAUUCUGCCAGCUUGCCACCUUAAAGUAUAUAUUAAUAAUACUAAUCACAGUAAGGUGGGAGCUGGUAGAAUCAUUAGAAUGCUUAGCAGCAUUUCAUCUGCAAAUUUGAUUAUGCUGAGAUUGAUAUUGCCUUUCAUCCUUUCAAAGUUGAUAAAAUAAAUACCAGUAAGAAAUGGGAUCAAUGAAAUCGACUUCUUUCCCAUCAACACCACCACCACCACCACCACACCACCAAAUUUCUGGCCUUGUGCCAAAAUUUGAAAUUAAUAUUAAAAAUCACAGUGAAUUAGAUUGACUUUAAAAGCGAAUUUUCACAUCUACAAUGCUGCUUAUUAGGUGUCUAUGAAUUUGGGAAACUCCAUCUGAUAAUCAGCAUAGCAUUCAACUGCUAUGCAAAAAAAACUUCACAUUCAUUACCUGUAGCUUAUGCUGUGUUGUGUCUAUAUCCAUGAAACUUGUAUAUCUUUACUGGCCUGAUCUAUCUAGGUAUCAUUGGGUGACAAGCUUGCAACUGCAGGCAGCAUCUAACCUGUGUGACUUAUUAUUUUGUUCAAAUUAAUAGUAUGUUCCUGUCAAGCUGACUUGCUUUUGUUUGAUAAUACAGGCAAAAACCUUCAAGUUAGUAGUUAAGAUACAUUCACACUGAAUUUUAUUUUUUUAUUCAACAAGUGUGGCUGUGUCGUAAGAACCUUGCUUCCCAACCUCAUGAUUCCAGGGUCAGUCUCAUAGUGUGGCUCCUUGAGCAAGUGUCUUCUACUAUAGCCUCGGGCUGACCAAAGUCUUGAGUGGAUUUGGUUGAUGGAAACUGAAAAGCUAUCAUUUGACAACCAGUGUUGGUGUGUUUAUGUUCCCAUAACUUAAUGGUUCAACAAAAGUGACCAAUAGAAUAAGUACCAGGCUUUAAAAAAAAAGGCAAAAUGUACUGGGGUCAAUUCAUUCAACUAAAUGUAUUCUUCAAGAUGGAGCCCCAGCAUGGCCACAAUCUAAUGACUGAAACAAGUUGAAGAUAGAACAUUUAGACAAGACUCAGAGUAAACAAAAAUCAGGUGUAACUGAAGAAAUGUGAUGUUAAUUGUUACCUGUUUUAAAAAAGAAUGUCUGACAUGGGGAUAAAUGUUGUUCAACUUUGUGUGUCUAACCUAAGUUAAGUUAUUUCAAAAAAAGUUGCAGAUAUAAUUUUUUUAAUAUUUUUUUGAAGGCAGGGUGGUGAAUUGGCAGAAUCAUUAGCAUAACAGUUAAAAUGUGUCGAGGCAUUUUGUCUGCCUUUAUGUUCUGAGUUCAAAUUCCACCAAGGUCAUCUUUGCCUUUCAUCCUUUUAAGGUUGAUAAAAUAAAUACCAUCUAAGCUUUGGGAUCGAUGUAAUCAACUUACCCCUCCAUAGAAAUUGUUGGGCUUGUGCCAAAAUUUUAAAUCAAUGUUUAUUUUAAGGCGGCAAACUGACAGAAUCGUUAGCACACUGGGCAAAAGACUUAAUGGUAUUUUACCAGUCCUAACAUUCUGAUUUUAAAUUCCACUCAGGUCAUCUUUGCCUUUCAUUCUUUUGCGGGGUUGAUGAAAUAAGUACUAGUUGAACUCUGGAGGCUGAUGCAAUCAACUUACCCCCUACCCUGAAAGUGCAACCCUUGUGACAAAAUUUGAAACCAGUAUUUUGUUAUAUUAACCCUUUUGUUACCAUAUUUCAGAUAAGAUGCUCUGUGUUUAUUUCAUUUAAUUCUAAAUAUAACAAAGAAUUUAGUAAAAUAACUUUGUUAAUUAUUAAGCUAGUGUUUGGAACAUAAAUUAAGACUAAGCUCUGGUGGAAGAUUUAAAUUCAGAACUUUUGAAAACAAGACAUUUGUACUACAGAGCUGGAGUGUGUGGGGGGGUGCAAUCUGAGGAAGGUUGGUAUCAAAAGGGUUAACUGAUUUCUUUCAAUACAUUUAGUAUGCUGUCACUUUUGCAAGUCAAUAGAAUGAUGAACAACCAGCUUAGAAGUUAGUGGACUAGGUUCACACAUACUGCUUUGUGUCUGUGGUUAUGCAGUACUUGACUCUCAGAUAACACAGUCCACCUAGCUACAAUGUGGUACCACACUAUCCAGUAGGAACAACUCCCAAUUGCUAUUACUACUUAAAUGCUUUGCUUCCUAUGGAGCAUAAGCCAUCAACAACUUUUCUCUGCUAUCUUCAGCUCUGAGAAGUCAUUUCUGCUUCUUUCCAGUUGGAUCCCUGCUUUUCCAGCCUCCCUUGUGGGUUCCAUCUCCACUUGCACUUCAAACAUUUAUUUCUUCCAGGUUUUGUAGGUUUUGAACUGUCAUUGAUGCUUCUGUAACUUUGCUUUUUCUGUUUCUAGUUGUUGUCCCCACUCACUUUUACCUUUGGGAAGAGGUGGUACAUAAUUAAUCUGGCCUCUCUCCUUUGACUUGACCAAUAUAGGAGGCUCUACCAGAAACUUAUGCUUUGCUGGCAGGGUCAUAGGGGCACACAAGCUACUGCACUACAAGGGAGUUAACUCUGUUAUAACCCAAAUGUACAUAACGCUGUAUAAUUGUGUAUUUAGUUUGCAAUACUAAUUUCAGUUUGGUAAGAAUACUUCACCACUCACCAUACAAAUUUUCUACUGGCACACUAAAAUAAGAUGUCUUCGGCAGUACUCCUACAAUACUCAUAAUUUUGAAAUAACUAUCAUUUGCAAUUUAGAUGUAGAAAAUUUUGAGUUAAAUAUAUACGAUGACCAAGGAUAUAAAAGCAGCAAAAAUUAGGAUCUUUUUCUAAUACUAUUGAAUAUUUUUAGUAGAAACUCAUAAGGAAAUGAGAAUAAUGGUUGAAUACAAUGUUUUUCUUUCUCCAGCAGCCGAGUCACACUUUUCUUUUGUGAACAUCUGAAAUUCUUCAUUUAAAAAUAUCCUUCUUAAUUAAUAAGUCUAUUUGCCUUAUUUUCAAUCACCAAAGCUUCCAUCAAGCUCUUGUGAUGCUAUGUGAUUUUUUUUUGCCAACCACACCAUAUUUCUCCAAUAAUUGAUUCAAAAGCAAUGUGUUAAACUGCCAAACACCAAACCUUUGUCUUGGUUUCAAUUUUCAUUUCAUGAGAAAUAACCCACAUCUCUAAUAGAAUAUACAGUUCCAUGCAAUAUUUUCUGAAUGAGAGAAAACAAUGUGAGAUGACCACCAAAAAUGGCUGUACAAAAGUUUUCAGCCACCUCACAUAAACCCAUCAAGAUACAAUGUUUUAAAACAGAAUAAUGUCUAUAAUGAAAAUUUACUACAUACUGUUCAUUUCAAGUUACUGUACAUUAUUAAUAUUUCGUGUGGCUUCCCUUACCUUGAAUAAUUGCUUUGAUGUACCAGGGAAAGAUGUGUACAAAUCGUUCACCAUCUUCACAGGUAUGAGAUACCAUUCUCUGUAGCUGAGCUUCCACAACUCUUCAAGAUUGUGUGGAUUCUUCUGACGAACUCUUCUCUUUAGUUCUGUCCACAUUUGCUCGAUGAUAUUUAAGUUAGGGCUCUGAGCUGGCCAAUCUUUCAAUAUGGUAACACCUUCAUCAGCCAGACUCUGUUGUGUUGCACACAAUCUUUGGCAUGGAGCUCCGUCAUGCUGAAAAAUCUCACCUUCAUCCAAGUCUGGCAUCAAAUUGUCCUUCAGCAACUGGAUGUAUUUGGCACUAUUCAAGUUACCAUCAAUUUUAACCAACUUUCUUGAACCAUUACUUUUUAUGUAUCCCCAAAGCAUUAGACUUUUACCCUCAAACAUCACAUUACUGUUUUCAUCAUGUAAUGUGGGUCAUUUUGCUUUCCUGGAGGCCUUCUGACAAAUUCUCGCUUAUUAGAAAUAUUAACAAUGUACAGUAACUUCUUGAAAUGAACAUUAUGUAUUAAAUUUUCAUUAUAGAUAUUUUACUGUUUUAAAACAUUGUAUCUCAGUUGGUUUAUGUGAGGUGGCUGAAAACUUUAGCUCAGCCAUUUUUUGGUGGUCAUCUCACAUCUUUCCUUCUAAUUCAGAGCCCCUACUGCAAAAUAUAAUGAUUAGGUAUGGAAAUGGCUCCAACAGGGCUAAUGUUUCAUCUGUAAAAAAUGCAAUGCGAAACAUCCACUCAUAAGUUGGCAGUUAGUAGAAAUUUACAAUAGUUUAAAGUGGCGAAAGACUUUUGCAUGGUACUAUACUCCAAUUCUAGAUAAAUAUUGUUUUGCUCUGGGGAAAAACAGAGACAUCAGGUUCCUGUUUGUCUUCUGUAAAAGUUUAAUGAGUUCCUAUACAUAAUUUUUAUUUCUCAAAUAGUACCUAAUUUAUAUUAAUUUCACUAUAGACUACACUAUAAUUAAUACAGUACCUCAUAAAAUUAUAAGGUUUUAUUUUUAUACCUUAGUAAGUUCUGGUUGAGUGAUGUCAUUUGUAAAUUAUACCUGUGGCAGCCAGGUUACCAACUGUUUACCUAAAAAUUUUCCAUUCAAAUAUUUUUCUCUGAGUUAUAAGUUGUGUGUGUGUGUGUGUACCUGUUAACCUUUUAGCAUUCAGAUUACUCUGUCAAAUAUAAUACUUAUUUAAUCUCAUUGUUUUGAAUUACUCUCACAUUAUCUCAUAGCUUUGACGUUUCAAUGAUGUGAUUGCUUAAUUUUAGAAUGAUAUUGCAAGGUAGGUGUGAAAGGCCAGAUCUGGCCAAUUUGGAUAUAUAGAACAGGUUGACUAUUUUGGCUGGAUAUGGCUAUUUUAAAUGCUAAAUGCUUAAGGCAACCAACAUAUUCAUUCUACUCAUUGCAUUCUUCUAGUCUUUGCCUAAAUAAAUAAGAGAAUAUAAAGUAAGCACCAUCACUUUUUAUUGAACUCAUUAUAGGCUAAAAUAUUAAGAUGUGAAAACUGAUUUAUUUGUGUUUUUUUCAGCUCUAGGGUAAGGAAGAAGUUUGAUGUAUAAAAGGUCUGUGUAUAAAUUAUUUAAAUAGUAAUGAUUUCCAUAAUUCUGCAUCAACUGCCAGAUACUCAAAAUGUAAAGAAUUCAUAUCUACUCCUAUAUGUCCAACAUUAAAUUGUUGUUCCAUGCUACAAUACUAGGGUAUAACUUCAAUUCAUAAUUCAUGAAAUAUAUAGGUGUUAGGAAGGGUAUCCAGCCAUAGAAACCAUGCCAAAUCAGACUGGAACUUGGUGCAGCUCUCCCACUUGCCAGUUCCAAUCAAAUUGUUUAACACAUGCCAGCAUAGAAAACAGAUACUAAAUGAUGAUGGUGAUAUAUAUAUAUAUAUUAUUCUUUAACAAGAAUAGUAAUGACAGUGACUUUGAAGUUCAGCCUGCUAAGAUAUUGUCAGACUGUGACAUUUGACAAUGGCUUAUCAGGCAAAAACUUUGAAGUCACUGUCAUUACCAUACUUGUUAAAGAAUAAUAAAUAUAUUCUGUGCACAAAGUAUUGAACAAUCCUUCAGUUUUAUGUAAAAUUGUUUUGUAUUAUAACUUGACAUAAAAACAAACAUUAAUAUAAUAUAUUAACCAAUCAUUAUUGCUAUAUAUGUAGCUGAAAACUAAGAUGUCAUCUGCAGGUAACAUGUUUGGAGAGAAAGUUAUCCAAUUUUCAUCAAAUUUUUGUCUAAAUGCAUGCUGUUCAUUUGGUGAAAAAUCUUUAUUUUAUUUAAUAAUCAUGGCUGAGCAUGGUUUAUUGAUUAAAUAACAAAGUGGCUGAAAUACAUUGCAGAAAUAGUGAAAUUCCCAACUAGACCAAUGAUUCUCAACCAUUUUUUAACUAUGGACCCUUCAAUUGCAAUUUUAUUUUGGUGGGCCCCCAUAGCUAUUCAGUGUCUAAAAGCUAGUUUUAUAGAUACUUCUUUCAAAAUUCCUAUUUGUUUUUCUCAUAUUCACUUGUAUAGGUUUCGCAAUAGUACUCUCUGAGAGAACAUGUUUCAGUUGCCAGAAACAUGUUAAACUAUGUUAAACAUUAGAAAAAGAAAUCUAGCUGUUUCUUACAAUAAACACAUCUAAAGGAAAAGUUGUUGCUUUUCUUUUUUAUGAUCCCUUAAAAUACUACUGUGGAUCCCCAGUUUACUACUUUUCUUACAUGGACCACAAAAAUUCUCAUAUGGAUCCCUAUUAAGAACCACUGACCUAGACUUGACAAUGUUGAGAAUUAUUUUUCACGAUGUUGUUCAUGGUGUUUAUGCAACCACCUGAUGAAUCAUUACCUCGGCCCAUAGUGAAUACAAUUUGUGUAAUUAAGAUUGGAAAUCCUCUAAGUUCCUUGUGGAGCAUAGGGCCAGUUUCUCAGUUUCCAUGGCGUAUGUGUUCCCUCCCUAGUUGGACAGGACGCCAGUCCAUCACAGCUUUUUACUCAAGAAACAGGAAGAAAGAGUGAGAGAAAGUUGGGGCGAAGGAGUACAACAGGGGUCGCCGCCACCCCCUGCUGGAGCCUCGUAGAGCUUUAGGUGUUUUUACUCAAUAAACACACAGAACGCCCGGUCUGGGAAUCGAAAUCACGAUCCUCCGACCGUGAGUCCGCUGCCCUAACCACUGGGCCAUUGCGCCUCCACGUAUAAUUAAGAUAACAUAAAUUAAUUUCUUUGGGUUACACAUCUUUUUGCUGAAAGCUUAAAGAAAAAAAUUAGGAUAAUAUAUAUAUUAUAGGCAUAGGAGUGGCUGUGUGGUAAGUAGCCUGCUUACCAACCACAUGGUCUCGGGUUCAGUCCCAUUGUGUGGCAUCUUGGGCAAGUGUCUUCUACUAUAGCCUCGAGCCAACCAAAGCCUUGUGAGUGGAUUUGGUAGACAGAAACUGAAAGAAGCCCGUCAUAUAUAUAGGUAUAUAUAUGUGUGUGUGUGUAUGUGUUUGUCCCCCCAACAUUGCUUGACAACCGAUGCUGGUGUAUCUAUGUCCCCGUAACUUAGCGGUUCAGCAAAAGAGACCGAUUGAAUAAGUACUAGGCUUCUAAAGAAUAAGUCCUGGGGUUGAUUUGCUCAACUAAAGGCGGUGCUCCAGCAAAAAAAGACUGAAACAAGUAAAAGAGUAUAUAUAUAUAUAUAUAUAUAUAUAUAUAUAUAUAUAUACUUU